UACGAAGGGGGCUAGCGUUGCUCGGAAUCACUGGGCGUAAAGGGUGCGUAGGCGGGUCUUUAAGUCAGGGGUGAAAUCCUGGAGCUCAACUCCAGAACUGCCUUUGAUACUGAGGAUCUUGAGUCCGGGAGAGGUGAAUGGAACUGCGAGUGUAGAGGUGAAAUUCGUAGAUAUUCGCAAGAACACCAGUGGCGAAGGCGGCUCACUGGCCCGGUACUGACGCUGAGGCACGAAAGCGUGGGGAGCGAACAGG
rnacentral:rRNA from 1 species